UCCGGCUUAUCACCGGCAGUUUCCUCAGAGUUCUCAGCAUUACCUGUUAGCAACAGAGGAUGAGGGUUGCGCUCGUUGCGGGACUUAACCCAACAUCUCACGACACGAGCUGACGACAGCCAUGCAGCACCUGUGCAUCUCCCACCCGAGGUGAAGGAAUCCGUUUCCGGUUUCCAUAGAGAGCAUGUCAAAUCCUGGUAAGGUUCUUCGCGUUGCCUCGAAUUAAACCACAUGUUCCACCGCUUGUGCGGGUCCCCGUCAAUUCCUUUGAGUUUUAGCCUUGCGGCCGUACUUCCCAGGCGGAGUGCUUAGCGCGUUAGCUGCGCCACUGAAGGGUAACCCUCCAACGGCUAGCACUCAUCGUUUAGGGCGUGGACUAC
rnacentral:misc_RNA from 1 species